rnacentral:rRNA from 1 species
GACGAACGCUGGCGGCGUGCUUAACACAUGCAAGUCGAACAGAAAGGCCCUGCUUGCCGGGUACUCGAGUGGCGAACGGGUGAGUAACACGUGGGUGAUCUGCCCUGCACUUCGGGAUAAGCCUGGGAAACUGGGUCUAAUACCGGAUAGGAGCCAUUUUUAGUGUGAUGGUUGGAAAGUUUUUUCGGUGUAGGAUGAGCUCGCGGCCUAUCAGCUUGUUGGUGGGGUAAUGGCCUACCAAGGCGGCGACGGGUAGCCGGCCUGAGAGGGUGGACGGCCACAUUGGGACUGAGAUACGGCCCAGACUCCUACGGGAGGCAGCAGUGGGGAAUAUUGCACAAUGGGCGCAAGCCUGAUGCAGCGACGCCGCGUGGGGGAUGACGGCCUUCGGGUUGUAAACUCCUUUCGCUAGGGACGAAGCUUUUUGUGACGGUACCUAGAUAAGAAGCACCGGCUAACUACGU